GAUGAAGAACGUAGCGAAAUGCGAUAAGUAAUGUGAAUUGCAGAAUCCAGUGAAUCAUCGAGUCUUUGAACGCACAUUGCGCCCCCUGGUAUUCCGGGGGGCAUGCCUGUCCGAGCGUCAUUGCUGCCCUCAAGCACGGCUUGUGUGUUGGGCCUCCGUCCUCCUCCCGGGGGACGGGCCCGAAAGGCAGCGGCGGCACCGCGUCCGGUCCUCGAGCGUAUGGGGCUUCGUCACCCGCUCUUGUAGGCCCGGCCGGCGCUUGCCGACACAUCAAUCUUUUUUCCAGGUUGACCUCGGAUCAGGUAGGGAUACCCGCUGAACUUAAGCAUAUCAAUAAGCGGAGGA
rnacentral:misc_RNA from 1 species